AUCACAUAAAUCGAUUGACGCUUCUUCUUCUCCAUCGACGCUUCUUCUUCUCCAUCGACGCCGCUCUCUUCUCUUCUCCUUUGAGCUUUCUCUUCUUCAAGCUUCGUCUCGUCUCUCACACCAUCUCCAGAGCUCUCUCUCUCGAUCUCAAACCCAGGCUCUCCACAUCUCGACCCUCUCUCCAUCAAGCUUCGUGCAUCUCCUUCAACGACUCUGCUUGUUGCUGCUUCAGUUAUAUGGUGUCUAAGAAGAAGUACAUCUUCACUAUUGACGACGAUUGCUUGCUCUCUCAGGCUUCUCCAUAGCAUCUCCGGCUCUGUCUGUGUGUCUCAAGCUCUCCUAAGCUUUGUCUGUCUUUCACUCUCUCGCUCACAAGUACUUGCGGCAAAGAAGUGUGUUAUGUGCUUUGUCUCAAGGUCUCCAAAGCUUUGUCGCUCACUCUAUUGUAAGAGCUUUUCCUUUUAUACUUGUUUUUUUUUUAGUAAGUUGUGGUUGCUUCUUGUUUAGUUCUGGUUUUCAUCUUAAAGCACUUUAAUUUUGUUGAAUAAGAGUUUGUUUUCACAAGUUUUAAACUUUGUUCUAAAGAAAUUUGAAAAGAGUACAUGGCCUCUUCGUUCA